rnacentral:pre_miRNA from 1 species
AUAAAGUUCCUUUGGGUAAGAAGUACUACUUGUCAUCAAAAUGGAUAAAAGGAGAUGUAUCUAGAUGUACUUUAGUUCUAGAUAUGUCCCUUUUUAUCCAUUUUUAUGACAAGUAUUUUCGGACGGAGGGAGCUUAUA